rnacentral:lncRNA from 1 species
AAAAAAACGACACAAUUAAAUAUAUAAAAGGACAAGAAAUCUAUCCCAUUAAAAAAAAUUAUAUUGUAUAGGAGCCUGUAUUUCAGUGGUUGUCGUUUGUUUAUGUGUUACAUAUUUGUUUUUCGUUCAUUUUUUUUUUUAUAUAAUUAAGGCCGUUAGUUUUCUCGUUUGAAUUGUUUUACAUUGUCAUAUCGGGGACUUUUAUAGCUGACUAUGCGGUAUGGGCUUUGCUCAUUGUUGAAGGCCGUACGGUGAUCUAUAAAUGUUAAUUUCUGUGUCAUUUUGGCCUCUUGUGGACAGCUGUCUCAUUAGAAAUCAUACCACAUCUUCUUUUUUGUUAUAGAUCCAACGCUGCAAUUUUCACAAAACAUAAUCACAUUU